AUCAAUUGGUAUUGACUGAUGGCGUUGUGUUUUUGACCCCGAAUUGUCUGUUGCCCCUCUGCGACCUGAAAGCAAGGGUGUACGAUCAAGCAUUAUUUUGGUUUAGGGGAGUGUUGCAUGUCAUACAAGGCUAAUUGUCAGUGUGGCUAAUUUGACAUGUGUGGUUGUGUAGGUCAUUGAUGCGUAUGGGUUUUUGCUGAAUGUAAGAAACACCAACACCAUGCACAUAUGUUAUGUGUCUUCGAUGACAUCGUUGUAUUUAUCGGAUGCCCGCAAUGAUGUUCUCUAUCAAUGGUUGAAGCCCAAUGAAAUAUUGAUGUGCAAUAAGGUUUUAAUACCUUUAUCUGAUGGCUCACACUAGCAGCUACUAGUGGUGAAUAUGGUGGACUACAAAAUCGAGGCCUAUAGUUCCUUAAAUAGCAGCCUGCACGAUGCGUAUGCAAGAUCCAUGCAAACAACUUUGAGAGAAAAACUAUCACCAUUUGUUCCUGGGAUCAUCGGUUAGUCGUUUCAAUUCAUUGAGUCAGCCCCCCAAUAGAUUGGUGGUAGCGACUGUGGAGUGUUUGUUAUGAAGUACAUGGAUUGCAUUGCCCGGGGUUCACAUUUUGGCUUUGAUCCAGGAAAUAUCAAUGUUAUUAAGUGGCAGUUAGGGGCUCAACUCAUUCAGAACCAUAUCCCAUAAAUUGAAGAUCUCACGAGGAUGAUUGGAAACCAAUUUAUUUUUCCUUUCUCUCACCUUACGACUCUGAGAAUAUAUUAACAAUUGAAAUUUUUGUAUCAGAGCUAACGAUUGGUCAGCUCUAACUACAUAAAUUUAUAGA